rnacentral:rRNA from 2 species
AGAUGCGCUCUAUCAUGCAGUCGAGCGAACUGAUUAGAAGCUUGCUUCUAUGACGUUAGCGGCGGACGGGUGAGUAACACGUGGGCAACCUGCCUGUAAGACUGGGAUAACUUCGGGAAACCGAAGCUAAUACCGGAUAGGAUCUUCUCCUUCAUGGGAGAUGAUUGAAAGAUGGUUUCGGCUAUCACUUACAGAUGGGCCCGCGGUGCAUUAGCUAGUUGGUGAGGUAACGGCUCACCAAGGCAACGAUGCAUAGCCGACCUGAGAGGGUGAUCGGCCACACUGGGACUGAGACACGGCCCAGACUCCUACGGGAGGCAGCAGUAGGGAAUCUUCCGCAAUGGACGAAAGUCUGACGGAGCAACGCCGCGUGAGUGAUGAAGGCUUUCGGGUCGUAAAACUCUGUUGUUAGGGAAGAACAAGUACGAGAGUAACUGCUCGUACCUUGACGGUACCUAACCAGAAAGCCACGGCUAACUACGUGCCAGCAGCCGCGGUAAUACGUAGGUGGCAAGCGUUAUCCGGAAUUAUUGGGCGUAAAGCGCGCGCAGGCGGUUUCUUAAGUCUGAUGUGAAAGCCCACGGCUCAACCGUGGAGGGUCAUUGGAAACUGGGGAACUUGAGUGCAGAAGAGAAAAGCGGAAUUCCACGUGUAGCGGUGAAAUGCGUAGAGAUGUGGAGGAACACCAGUGGCGAAGGCGGCUUUUUGGUCUGUAACUGACGCUGAGGCGCGAAAGCGUGGGGGAGCAAACAGGAUUAGAUACCCUGGUAGUCCACGCCGUAAACGAUGAGUGCUAAGUGUUAGAGGGUUUCCGCCCUUUAGUGCUGCAGCUAACGCAUUAAGCACUCCGCCUGGGGAGUACGGUCGCAAGACUGAAACUCAAAGGAAUUGACGGGGGCCCGCACAAGCGGUGGAGCAUGUGGGUUUAAUUCGAAGCAACGCGAAGAACCUUACCAGGUCUUGACAUCCUCUGACAACUCUAGAGAUAGAGCGUUCCCCUUCGGGGGACAGAGUGACAGUGGUGCAUGUGUCGUCAGCUCGUGUCGUGAGAUGUUGGGUAGGUCCCGCACGAGCGCAACCUGAUCCUAGUGCAGCAAUUAGUGGACACUCUAGUGACUGCCGUUGACCAAGCGGAGGAACGUUAGCGCAUGACGGUUCCAACAUCAUCAUGCCUAUGACCUGGUCUACACACGUGCCUACAAUGGCAU